rnacentral:rRNA from 1 species
UACGUAGGGCGCAAGCGUUGUCCGGAAUUAUUGGGCGUAAAGAGCUCGUAGGCGGCUUGUCACGUCGGGGUGUGAAAGCCCGGGGCUUAACCCCGAGCCUGCAGUGGAUACGGGCAGACUAGAGGUAGGUAGGGGAGAAUGGAAUUCCCGGUGUAGCGGUGAAAUGCGCAGAUAUCGGGAGGAACACCGGUGGCGAAGGCGGUUCUCUGGGCCUUACCUGACGCUGAGGAGCGAAAGCGUGGGGAGCGAACAGG